ensembl:lncRNA
CUUGAAGAGAAAAUGCGUGAUUUUCGGGUUCAAUGGGGGAUUCUCGAAAAGAAAGCGCGUGAUUUUCGGGUAAAAUGGGGGAUUUGCGAAGAGACAACGCAUGAUUUUUUCUUAAAUGAAGGAUUCUCGAAUAGAAAACACGUGAUAUUCGGGUUAAAUGGGGGUUUUCUGAUGAGAAAAUGUGGCAUUUUUGUUUAAAUGGCGGGUUUUCAAAUAGGAAACGCGUGAUUUUCGGGUUAAAUGGGGGAUUCUCGAAAAGAAAAUGCCUGAUUUUCGGGUUAAGUGGGGGAUUCUCAAAUAGAAAGCACGUGAUUUUCAAGUUAAAUGUGGAUUUCCAAAGAGAAUACGUGUGAUUUUCUCUUAAUUGGGGGCUUUGGAAGAAAAAACGUAUGAUUUUUGCUUAAAUGGGGAAUUCUCGAAGAGAAAGCGUGUGAUUUUUGCUUAAAUGGGGGAUUUCCAAGGAGAAAACGCGUGAUUUUCGCUUAAAUGGGGGAUUCUCGAAGAGAAAACUCAUGAUUUGCGGGUUAAAUGGGGGAUUCUCGAAGAGAAAACACGUGAUAUUCGGGUUAAAUGGGGGUUUUCUGAAGAGAAAACGCGGCAUUUUUGCCUAAAUGGGGGGUUUCCGAAGAGGAAACGCGUGAUUUUGGGGUUAAAUGGGGGAUUCUCAAAAGGACAUGCAUGAUUUUCGGGUUGAGUGGGAGAUUCUCAAAAAGAAAGCGCGUGAUUUUCGAGUUAAAUGGGGGUUUUCCGAAAAGAAAACGCGUGAUUUUUGCUUAAAUGGGGGAUUCUCAAAGAGAAA